CGCGGAGUAGAGCAGUUGGUAGCUCGUCGGGCUCAUAACCCGGAGACUUUUCCGAUUCUUCGGAGCUCUAAAUUCCGCAA
rnacentral:tRNA from 1 species